rnacentral:rRNA from 1 species
GACGAACGCUGGCGGCGUGCUUAACACAUGCCAGUCGAACGGAAAGGCCCUGCUUUUGUGGGGUGCUCGAGUGGCGAACGGGUGAGUAACACGUGAGUAACCUGCCCUUGACUUUGGGAUAACUUCAGGAAACUGGGGCUAUACCGGAUAGGGAGUCCUGCUUCCUGGUGGGGGGUGGGAAGUUUCGGCGGUUGGGGAUGGACUCGCGGCUUAUCAGCUUGUUGGUGGGGUAGUGGCUUACCAAGGCUUUGACGGGUAGCCGGCCUGAGAGGGUGACCGGCCACAUUGGGACUGAGAUACGGCCCAGACUCCUACGGGAGGCAGCAGUGGGGAAUAUUGCACAAUGGGCGGAAGCCUGAUGCAGCAACGCCGCGUGCGGGAUGACGGCCUUCGGGUUGUAAACCGCUUUCGCCUGUGACGAAGCGUGAGUGACGGUAAUGGGUAAAGAAGCACCGGCUAACUACGUG